AAGGAAUUGGCGGGGGAGCACCACAACGGGUGGAGCUUGCGGUUUAAUUGGAUUCAACGCCGGAAAUCUUACCGGGACCGACAGCAAUAUGAAGGCCAGGCUGAAGACUUUGCCGGAUUAGCUGAGAGGUGGUGCAUGGCCGUCGUCAGUCCGUACUGUGAAGCAUCCUGUUAAGUCAGGCAACGAGCGAGACCCACGCCCACAGUUGCCAGCGAGCCCUUCGGGGUGGCGGGUACUCUGUGGGGACCGCCGCUGCUAAAGCGGAGGAAGGAAUGGGCAACGGUAGGUCAGUAUGCCCCGAAUCUCCCGGGCUACACGCGGGCUACAAUGGUCGGUACAAUGGGUAUCUACCCCGAGAGGGGAUGGAAAUCUCCUAAAACCGGUCGUAGUUCGGAUUGAGGGCUGCAACUCGCCUUCAUGAAGCUGGAAUCCGUAGUAAUCGCGUUUCAACAGAACGCGGUGAAUACGUCCCUGCUCCUUGCACACACCGCCCGUCAAACCACCCGAGUAGGGUCUGGAUAAGGGUGCGCCAUGUUGACGCAUUCGAAUCUGGGCUUUGCAAGGGGGGUUAAGUCGUAACAAGGUAACCAAGGGCGAAU
rnacentral:rRNA from 1 species